UACGGGGGGAGCAAGCGUUGUUCGGAUUUACUGGGCGUAAAGGGCGCGUAGGCGGCCAGUGCAAGUCAGUUGUGAAAUCUCCGAGCUUAACUCGGAAAGGUCAACUGAUACUGCUCGGCUAGAGUGCGGAGGGGGCAACUGGAAUUCUUGGUGUAGCGGUGAAAUGCGUAGAUAUCAAGAGGAACACCUGCGGCGAAGGCGGUUCUCUGGGACGGUACUGACGCUGAGACGCGAAAGCGUGGGGAGCGAACAGG
rnacentral:rRNA from 1 species